rnacentral:rRNA from 1 species
GACGAACGCUGGCGGCGUGCUUAACACAUGCAAGUCGAACGGAAAGGCCCUGCUUUUGUGGGGUGCUCGAGUGGCGAACGGGUGAGUAACACGUGAGUAACCUGCCCUUGACUUUGGGAUAACUUCAGGAAACUGGGUCUAAUACCGGAUAGGAGCUCCUGCUGCAUGGUGUGGGUUGGAAAGUUUCGGCGGUUGGGGAUGGACUCGCGGCUUAUCAGCUUGUUGGUGGGGUAGUGGCUUACCAAGGCUUUGACGGGUAGCCGGCCUGAGAGGGUGACCGGCCACAUUGGGACUGAGAUACGGCCCAGACUCCUACGGGAGGCAGCAGUGGGGAAUAUUGCACAAUGGGCGGAAGCCUGAUGCAGCAACGCCGCGUGCGGGAUGACGGCCUUCGGGUUGUAAACCGCUUUCGCCUGUGACGAAGCGUGAGUGACGGUAAUGGGUAAAGAAGCACCGGCUAACUACGUG